rnacentral:lncRNA from 1 species
AAAAAAAAAUUUAAUUAAUUAAUUAAUUAAUUAAAUAAUUAAAAUAAAUAUAUAAAUAAAAUAUAACAAAUUAUUUUGGACUUGGGUCUCCCUCAUUUCAAACCCAUUACCCACGAAAUUAGUCUAUAAAUACUGAAGUUUCAGUAGGGGAGUGACACUUGGAGUUUACACUGGGAGAUUCACUGGAGAAAGAAGGAAGAGAAGCAAAACACUCUGAGGUUUCCUUGGAACAAAACCUUGAGGAAAAAGAAAGAGAGAGAACAGAG